rnacentral:rRNA from 1 species
GCUUACGGCCAUACCAGCCUGGGUACGCCCGAUCUCGUCUGAUCUCGGAAGCGAAGCAGGGUCGGGCCUGGUUAGUACUUGGAUGGGAGACCGCCUGGGAAUACCAGGUGCUGUAAGCA